UUGUUCUUUCCCGCCUAUAUACCACCGUCGUCAGCUUACCCUGUGAAGGCCCUAUAGUAAGCACAAUCGGCAAUGCCCAAUACGUCAGGUCGAGGUGUAGCGAAUGGAAGGGGAAGAAAUGGGCUACAUUUACUAAUAUAGUAAAUACGGAUGAUCACCCUGCAACGAGUAUCUGAAGGAGGAUUUAGCAGUAAGCAAAAAAUAGAGCGUUUUGCUGAAAUUGGCCCUGAAGCGUGCACACACCGCCCGUCACUCUCCCCGAACUAAGAUCUAAAACAUAACUAAUAUGCUAUAACUGUAAAGGGGAGGCAAGUCGUAACAUGGUAAGCGUACCGGAAGGUGCGCUUGGAAAAAC
rnacentral:rRNA from 1 species